rnacentral:misc_RNA from 1 species
CUUUCAGGAAGAACUUUUCUGUUUUAUGAGAUUAUGCCGGAGAAGGUUAUCUGGUUUGCCCCGGAGGGCUUGUAGCUCAGUUGGUUAGAGCGCGCGCUUGAUAAGCGUGAGGUCGGAGGUUCAAGUCCUCCCAGGCCCACCAUUUGUAAGUGCUUAUAACGGCUGCUUGUAAAGAGUUUGUUCCGCUUAUCACUUUCGCUUAAAGCAGUUCAAAUUUUAAAGAUUUUAAAAGUUCUUUGUUUUAGGGGCCGUAGCUCAGCUGGGAGAGCACCUGCUUUGCAAGCAGGGGGUCGUCGG